rnacentral:tmRNA from 1 species
GGCCUUCACUCCUUAACCCUUGCCCCCUAUAUUGGGAGGGUCCGGGUUCGCCCGGACUAUGGAGAUAAACGCGCACGUAAUAAGCGGCCUGGACCCGGGUGCGAUUCCCGGCGGCUCCACCAACUCUUCCCUCGAGUUAUCGCGAGGAAGCAUGGGGCCGAUCAGCAUCGACAGACGUGUAAAGGUGUUUGCUUUCUCUCGGCAUGGUUCCGCCGCAUCGGGCCAUUUUCUAAAUGCGAACGAUAACUUCGCUGAAGAGUUCGCCGUCGCCGCGUAAUGCGGUGCAGGUGAGUUCGACCUAAAGCCCUGGGGGUUCAGAUCCUCAGGCGGGGCUCGGAGGGGGCCUGGCAACAGAACCCCUCCACU